AGAUCCUGCAGAAAUGGUACCCAGGGUAGGAACUAAAUCUAUGGGAGAUGAAAUGGGACUUGCUUAGGGAGGUGGGAGGCCUAGUAACAACUUAGGUGCUGUACUUUUGUCUUCUGUUGGUUAAGCUUUAUGACUGUGCAUUGGGUGGCUUCAGUCUCUUCUCUUUUUUCCCACCAGGCCCAGGACUGAAGCAUAGUUAUAGAGUUAGCCCUUUAAUUCUUUGCUUUCAAAGGUAUGAUCUAAUGAGACAGUGCUGGCGGGAGAAGCCUUACGAGAGGCCAUCAUUUGCCAAGAUAUUGGUGUCCUUAAACAGAAUGUUAGAGGAACGAAAGACCUACGUGAAUACCACGCUUUAUGAGAAGUUUACUUAUGCAGGAAUUGACUGCUCUGCUGAAGAAGCGGCUUAAGACAGAACAUCUGUAUACCCUCUGUGUCUGAUUCACUGGCCUGGGAGACCCUUGACAGCUGCUGGGAAACCAUGCUUCUGUCAAGAGAUGUGACAUAGACGUGUACAUAUGUGCUGUACACCUGGGACCUUCACCACUAUAGAUCCCACACAUGGAUCUCUGUAGUAUGUGCUGACUCUAAUAGGACUGUAUAUACUGUCUUGAGGAAGAAUGUGCUGAAAUCAGAAUGCCUGUAUGAGGUUUCAGGUCCAUUUUUUUAAAUGUGGACUUCAUAGGAAGGUGUGAUUACAAUUACUGUAAUGCAUAACUCAUUAUUGUCCUAGAUAUCUUGAUAUUUACCUUUAUAAUGAAUGCUAGUAAGUGUUUUGCUGUGUCAAAGUAAAAUAUUGUUAAUAAACCUAACAAUGACCCUGAUAGCACAGGUUAAGUGAGAGAAAGAUAUGAAUUCUAACAAGACAUAGGUUAAUAUUUAAGAGACUGAGCAAUCUAAGUGAUAUAAAUCAGAUUCCUCUCUCUCUCUCUCAGUCACUCUCACCUGUAGCAGCCGGUCUCAUUUCAUCUAGUCAUGUGACAAUUCUGUCUUCUGUUUCCACAGCCUGCAAGUCAGUCCAGAAUGCUAAUAUCUAAAGACAGACUUAAAGCUUGUUCCUUACAAGCCUAAGAAUCUUUAGAGAAGAAUACAUACGUUUAAGAUAAAAUAAUGGAAUUUUCUUUUCUCUGGUAAUAGUGACUUGCAUAUUUUAAGAAAUAAUAAAACAGAAAUCCAGGGUGAGAUUUGGGAGGCAUGUGACAUUUAUAUAUGGAAUUAAUAUCCCUACAUGUAUUGCACAUUGUAAAAAGUUUUAGUUUUGAUGAGUUGCGAGUUUACCUUGUAUACUGUAGGCACACUUUGCACUGAUAUCAUGAGUGAAUAAAUGUCGUGCCUAUUCACAGGAGUGUGUCUCA